AAACUCUUUAAAUUAGUCCAGAGAGGCUGAUAAGAAGUUAAAGUUUAGAGUAUAUGAUUCUAUUUAAGUAUAGAAUUGUUGUAACUUCUUGCAGCUAAAAGGCAAGGAGUUUUUUUAU
rfam:Clostridium chauvoei JF4335, WGS project CBML01000000 data, contig: 00001